CUGGUAGUCCAUGCCGUAAACGGUGGAUGCUGGAUGUGGGACCCUUCCACGGGUUCCGUGUCGGAGCUAACGCGUUAAGCAUCCCGCCUGGGGAGUACGGCCGCAAGGCUAAAACUCAAAGAAAUUGACGGGGGCCCGCACAAGCGGCGGAGCAUGCGGAUUAAUUCGAUGCAACGCGAAGAACCUUACCUGGGCUUGACAUGUUCCGGACGGUCGCGGAGACGCGGCUUCCCUUCGGGGCCGGUUCACAGGUGGUGCAUGGUCGUCGUCAGCUCGUGUCGUGAGAUGUUGGGUUAAGUCCCGCAACGAGCGCAACCCUCGCCUUGUGUUGCCAGCGCGUCAUGGCGGGAACUCACAAGGGACCGCCGGGGUUAACUCGGAGGAAGGUGGGGAUGACGUCAAGUCAUCAUGCCCCUUAUGACCUGGGCUACACACGUGCUACAAUGGGCAGUACAACGAGAAGCGAACCCGCGAGGGUAAGCGGAUCUCUUAAAGCUGCUCUCAGUUCGGACUGCAGGCUGCAACUCGCCUGCACGAAGCUGGAAUCGCU
rnacentral:rRNA from 1 species